AUGUUUGCCCGCGCAAGGAAGGUGUGCCACAUUGCGCUCCCGUCGCUGAAUCCCCAUGACUCCUUCCAUUCGCUUCUCAUUGUGAGCGUUCAGUUGCCUACCUAUCCCACUACCAUGUUCGAUGAGAACGACAGCGACGGUGUAAGCUCGGUCCUGUAUUUGAAGAUAUUCAACAGCUUCGACAAGGAGAUUUCUCUUCGGCUCAAGGACAGCAUCAAGAGUGUGAUGAAUGAGGAAACGAAGAAGGUCAAGGGGUUCCCGGGGGACAACAACGUGCCCUACACAGAGAGGCUGAAAAUCCUGGCCGGCAGCUCAGCACCCUGA
rnacentral:rRNA from 1 species